GUUAGGAAAGGAGGUGGGAUCUCCAGGGAAGUUAGGAAAGGAGGUGAAGCCUUUAGUGGAGCUGACAAAGCAGGUGAAACCCCUGGAACUUAGUAAAGAGGCAGACGACCCAGGAGAAGAGUUAGUGUGUGGAGAGGUGAAGUCUCCAAAGGAGGCGAUGGAGGAGGUGAGGGAGGUGACAGCUGUACAGGAGGUGCAUGAGGAGCUGGGAGGUGUGCAGGAGGUGCAGGAGGAGGUGAGGAAAGCCUCUGGGGCUCAGGAGGAGCUGGAGAACUCUGAGCGAGCGGAGGAGACCAGGAGCCUGAGCCGCCUCAGCAGGGGCAGCUGCAGAGCACGAUCAGACGACCUGACCAUAUGAGCCAUACACAAACAAACACACAAACAAACAAACAAAUAUAUGAAAUACAUACACAAACAAACACACAAACAAACAAACAUAUGAAAUACAUACACAAACAAACAUAUGAAAUACUUACACAAACAAAC
ensembl:lncRNA